GCUGAGUAGAUAGCUCAGUUGGUUAGAGCAUGGUGCUGAGAAUGCCAAGGUUGCAGGUUUGAUCCCCGUAAGUUACAGCU